AGGACGACGCUGGCGGCGUGCCUAACACAUGCAAGUCGAGCGGGGACUUGCGACGGAUUUGAAGUUUCGGAUGGAAAUGAAGAUGUAAAGUUCUAGCGGCGGACGGGUGAGUAACGCGUGAGCAACCUGUCCCUUACAGGGGGAUAACACAGCGAAAGUUGUACUAAUACCGCAUGAGACCACGGUGAGACAUCUCACAGGGGUCAAAGGAGCAAUCCGGUAAGGGGUGGGCUCGCGUCCGAUUAGAUAGUUGGUGAGGUAACGGCCCACCAAGUCGACGAUCGGUAGCCGACCUGAGAGGGUGAUCGGCCACAUUGGGACUGAGACACGGCCCAAACUCCUACGGGAGGCAGCAGUGGGGAAUAUUGGGCAAUGGGGGGAAACCCUGACCCAGCAACGCCGCGUGAGGGAAGAAGGUUUUCGGAUCGUAAACCUCUGUCCUUGGUGAAGAGGAAGAGACGGUAGCCAAGGAGGAAGCCCCGGCUAACUACGUGCCAGCCGCUGC
rnacentral:rRNA from 1 species